CUCCGCCGCCAGUCAGUUGGGUUCUGCUUCUUUUGCGUUCCGUUUUUUCUCUUUGCUGAUUAGUUGAUUAUAUACUUAUUUCUUCGCGAUUUCUCUUCUCCACGGAGCAUCUAGAUCGUGGCAUUAGACGAUGAUGAUUUUUUCAACUUACCAUCAAACUCUGAAUCGAUACUGUGUCGAUUACACCCAAGUUUUCGUGAGUCUAAUGCGAUCUCCUCUAUUCGUUUUGUUGUCAUUGUUUUGUUUUUAGAUAGAUUCGAUUUACAGCCUUUUGAAGGCAAUAAAUUAGAGUCUCUGGUGCGCUUCUUAAUAGCGUAAUUCAGCGCUGUACGUUGCCGAGAUGAAUCUUUGGGCUAAGAUUCUGGCACAGACCAUUAUUCGAGAUGGUUUGUGCAUUCAACUUGUCCAUACAUAUCUUCGAUGUUGUCGAUAACAUUCAACUUGUCCAUACAUAUCUUCGAUGUUGUCGAUAAAUGUUUCUGUCUUCGGAUGUCUUCCUGUUCUAGCUUUGUUAUAAUUUUUUCAGAAUGGAGACGCUGGACGCGUUCGGCUUUAUUAAUUCUUUAUUAAAUUAAUAAAGCCCACAACUUAGGCAGCGUACCAAACAUAGUCUUAGACAACAAACACGAGCACGGAGGCUCAAGGCCAACGCCGACGCGGAGUCACGAGCGUUUUAGAACAGGCCAAAAGAAGCACGCAGCGGUGCAGUUACAAGGCCUGAAGCCUGAGCAUAGAGCAUGCAGGCUUGCUCGCGCGCUAGACAAAAGUGCCACUUCAUGGAGUAGAAGUGGCGGAUGGCUCCCUAGCCAAAACGUAGACCUGGCUUUGUUAUUUGAAUAGGUAUCUUGUUCAUUGGCUAUGGAUCUGUUUAUCUGGUAUCUUUAGAUUUCAUUACCUGAAUUAAAAAGCAUAAACAUGGCAAUCUUACUUAAAUUAGGUGUUGACAGAUGCCAAUUCAAAUCCCCUUCGACGCAGUGACUUCGGAUUAAUUACAACGAAUGAUGGCGCAAAAUCCCCUUCGGUGCCAGUGUUUUCACUGUUCUACCCCAACCCUGUCGAUAUGACUUAUUAAUGACUGCCACUUCCAUCUGGUUGAUUCAUCGCCCAAAACAGGUGGUUGUGCUUCUGUUGGGCAAGCGUACCCAUAUAGCAGAAAAACCUGAUGCAUCUAUCUAUUUGAAUGUUAGUGCAAUGUUUUUUGCAAGAUCAGCUUCUUGUCUGGAUGUCGUAACUAUCAGUCCAGUCAAUCGGCAAAUCAUCCUGCCAUCUUGCUAGAUUCAAAACCCAGUCGGCUUUCAACUCACCUGGAUCUGAUUACUCGAUGAUUUUCCGGGCCCUUUCCGUCGGCAUAUGCGAUAGAUUUUUUGUUCAGUUAGUCACUCUGUCCCAAAGCUUUUCCUGUUUUGAGGCAAGUUCUUUGUUUGCGAGAUAGAUAGAUAACCUGUGCUUGAGGUUUAUGUGACCUCAUGGAGUUGUUUUCAGUAUUUUUCUGUCUGAUUUUGUAUCGUCUUGGUGAAGAUCUCUAGACCAGGAAGUGCCGUAUGACACUGUAAACAGCAGCUGCUUCUCUGCCGCUCCACAAGCCUUGACUGGAGAUGCUACAUUGUGCCAACAGUGAGUUUUUGGACAUCUCACAUUUCAUAGGAACAUGUGGCUGUGAUUCAGUUGGUACACAGAUCCGUUUUUUGUGAUUACACUUCUUGCUUGGCAUACUUAAUCAUGACACUGUUGUAUUUGUUGUAGUUACGUGAUUGAAAAUAGGUGAAAUGAAUGGCUGUGAUGAUAGAACUAAGGCUUGUUUCUCAAAACAUUCACAGAUGCCGCCUAAGAGCUUUUGCCUUGCCAGGCUUGAGAACGGGAUGUUCUGUGCAUCCCUCUUCUGUUGAAUGGUGUACUUUUGACUGUUGUUCCUCUUUGGAACAUAGGCUUCUGAAACUUAAGAAACGUUCCAAGAAUUGUGAAAAUUUAACAGAGCUGAAUUUUAGUUGAUGCUGCUAAUUGCUUGGAUCUCUCAGCCAUACCCAGCUGGACUGUUCCUGAAAUCUGUUCCCGAAAAGAUUCAGACGACCAGAAGCUAUUCUUUUGUAAAAUGGAACUAUUCAGAGAACUCAGUGAGAUGCGAUGGCGAUGAUAAACAAAUUUACACAUGUUCUUUUUCAAUUUUAGAAAUAAUUCAACGUCUGAGUCGGGAAUCAUUGGACGCCAUGUGAGCAUCUUUUUUUAAGAAUGAUCUAUCUUAAGUUGACAUGAGGUUGUAGUGUUUGUGUUGUUUAAUAAUUCUGCACUUCUUUUUAUUGUGAAAUUUUACACGUUAAUUUGUAGUAUUGCUUUUGUUAUAUUUGUAAAUUUCGUAUGUUCCUAUCAAAUGUUCCGGUAAAUAUGUGAAACGUAGUAUUACCUCUCAUCCAAAUUACUUUGCUUCUUUAGUUUAUAUUACUUGCUUCUUAUUACUUCCUCUGUUCCUAAAUAUAAGUCCUUUUAGUAUUUCAAAACAAAGUACAUAUGGAUGUAUAUAGACAUGACCUAUAUUAUGAGAAACAACAUGCACUACCAUCUGAUCUCACCUCGGAUUGAUCUCCCCUCGGAUUCUUCUCCCCACCUUGCUUCGUUUUGUAAUUAUUUUUCUUUCUUUCUCUUUUAUUUAAGGCAUUUUUCCGGGGUUGAAGUGAGAAUAAAUCAAUCCAUAACCAAAUCUCUGCAUCUACAGAUGAUGAGAAACAACAUGCACUACCAUCUGAUCUCACCCAUCUGCUUCCUUCCUCUUUGUCUUUUUGGUUUUUCUUUGAUUUCUUGUUCGAUUUGUUGCAAUCGGUGAUGUAAUUGUUUAAUUAUGCUGAGUUCCUCUGUGAUUAUCUCAACUACAAUCACCAUCUUUCGACUGAGAUUGCACUUAAUUUCUUCUCUGAUCUAGUUUUGGAAAAUCCCCUAUCUUUCUUUGAUUUGCUUAUAUAGGAUCUGUGUUUUGAUUUGUACGUUACGGAUGUCAGGAGGUAUCUGAUGCUUGUUCUCUUUAGCGAGAAGGAAACGGGUUUUUGUGACACUUGCUGCUCCCAUACCAGGAGCUUCCUGUUACUAUACCCCCGCUUACAUUCACUCAUUUUCUGAAUUUGUUUGUUGUUUGUUCUCGGUGAUGAUCAACACUGAUUAUAUGUCCGAUACAAUCCAUUCCUUAAACCAUGGGGACAAUACGAGGCAUUUGUCUGAGAGAACACCCUUCUUUAUCCCCUUUUCUGUCAUCAAGCUGCUUUUUUUUAUUCCCCUGUAUGUCGUAUGUCUUGGUUCUCUGUGAUGAAAACAGAUGACGAGUCUGAUGUAAUCCAUUCUAUUAAACCGUGUGGACAAUCGAGGCAUUUGUCUGAGGGAACAUUAGCUUAGUCAAAUCCUUUGCUUGGGUUUCUUUUUUCAAGUUAUUUUGUUGAGAUUGUGUUGCUGGCAUGAUGAGGAAUGUAAAUGUUGUCCUAUCUAUUUGAUGAUAAAAUCCUCCUACUCAUUCUGAAUGUGAGUAAGAAACUCAUCAUACGAUUGUUCUUUCUUUGUUUCACCUUGUGCCUGAGGUUUCUUGCAGAUAAUGUUUGAUGUGUGACAUUUGGACUAAGCAAGAUCUGAAAUCCUGAAAGAUUGGACAUAGUGCAGCUGUAUGAUUAGCAGAAGAGCAGUCGAAGACUCGACCAAAACUGUUUUGAUAAACCUGCUGUGCAAGGUUAUGAGCCACACCAUUGUUGUUGCGGGAAAUAUGAGAAAUAAUCUUAAGAAUUUCAGCUAA